rnacentral:lncRNA from 1 species
GUCAAGCCACAGAUUCCACUCAUUUCCUGAGGUAGCCAAGACAGGGUUUUUACCGCUAUGAGUCACCACCCUCAUGCCUCCAAGGCCUAGUGCAAAGACGAGCGCAUGUGGAAUGUGGUGAAUGACGUCAUCACUGCUGUUCAUUCUCACUGUCCAGAAAUGGCUCCAGGCUGAGUUGCACCCUCAAAGCUUUCCUCUGUUUCACCUCUGUUCAGACCCAAUGCAGGCCCCUUGCAGCCCAGAGGAAUAAAGAGAUGCCUAGAAAGAGGCCGUGGCCACUUGUUCUCUUUUGUUUUCUUCACUGCGGAGGACUGAGCAAGCCCACUAUCUGAGCAAUGUGGAAAUUCCAGCCCUCACAGGGCUUCACACCUUCAAGGGGAAGAACAUUGCGCCAUGAAACUUCCUUGCUCUAGGCCUGCCAGGAAGUUCAGUGAUGGAGCUGAGGAAAAGUGCGGCAGGCUGGCAGCAGGCCUUGUGACGACACAGCGGGGAAACCACAGGAUUCUGCAUUCUUCUGACCACAAGAGGAAGAUGGGAUCUUACUAUGUUGCCCAGGAUAUUCUCAAACUCUUGGCUUCAAGUGAUACUCCUGCCUUGGCCUCCCAGAUUGCUGGGAUUACAGGUAUGAGCCACCACACCUGGUCAUGAAAUGAUUUUUUUCUUUUGGGUGCACUAUGUCUAUGACAUUGCAUUUACUAAACAGUAAUUUCUCUCACCCUUCUGAAAACAAAGUUGUAUACACAAAUUCCAACCAGAAUUUCAUCCACUAAACACUAACUGAGCAGUUACUAUGCUCAGAGUAGCUGAGCAGUUACUCUCACGUGCUAGGCAUGAGAGCUGCAAAGGUGAACAGAGCCCGUCCUGGCCCACUUGCUGGGGAGAGUCCCAUAAACAGACGAUCAACCAUAACAAUGCCCUGAGAGUUGAAAGAUCACCUGGACCACUCCAUUCAGUUUACAGAAGACGACACUGAGGUCUCGAGUGAGGGAUUAAGUACCCAAGAUGUCACAGCAGAUAAUGGCAGAGUCAUGAUUUCUAACAAACAAACAGAAGAAGCAAGUCCCCUGCCUGUCGUCAGCCGGAGCCCCUCUGCUACGCCUGCUCCCCUGUUUCCCAUGGACUGCCUCAUCUUUUGCCUCUAGUUUGAGCCUGAAAGUUACACCUCCAAUGAAUGAAACUCACAGGAUCAUUGGCAUCCAGUCUUCCUCCUCCACACCCACUCUCGGCCACCUGCCCUUCUCAUCCACAGGUGGGAGCAAAGCUUGGUCAACCUGAUAGGCCUCUUCCAGGCAGGGACAGGAGAAGGGACGGCACAGCAGCUCUGAGUCAGGACUCCUUUCGGUAAGGCGUGGCCGCCAGGAAGGCCUGAGAGAAGGAAACCAGCCCAGGUGCGCUCUGUUUACCUUCUCGGCUCACAAACAUGACCAGACCCUCCUUGGCUGGCUGGAUGAAGUCCCAGCCACUUAGUCCAGCCCUCGAGCCUCUCCCAUUCCAGCCACAGUCUGCCUGGCCAGUUCCAUCCCCCUACGGCUUUCCUGGUGUACCACACCAUCCUCGGAUUGCAGCUCGCCCUCUUGGGCCUUUCUGGCCUAGCAGGUGCUGUUCCUUCAGCUCCAAUGCCCUUCCCUGCCUCUCCACCCGGCAAGCUCCUUCUCUUUGUAUCUUCUGCACUAACACUUCCCUCCUCCCUCCCCUUCCCCUCUUUUUCCUUUGUGCCCCGGUGGCACUUCUGAGACAAUGUUACAAGCAUAAUAAAAUAACAAAAUCAU